rnacentral:rRNA from 1 species
AGCCACCUUCGGGUGGUGGAAAGUGGCAGACGGGUGAGUAACGCGUGGGAACGUGCCUUUCGGUUCGGGAUAACCCAGGGAAACUUGGGCUAAUACCGGAUACGCCCUUCGGGGGAAAGAUUUAUUGCCGAAAGAUCGGCCCGCGUCGGAUUAGCUAGUUGGUGGGGUAAAAGCCUACCAAGGCGACGAUCCGUAGCUGGUCUGAGAGGAUGAUCAGCCACACUGGGACUGAGACACGGCCCAGACUCCUACGGGAGGCAGCAGUGGGGAAUAUUGCACAAUGGGCGAAAGCCUGAUGCAGCCAUGCCGCGUGGGUGAAGAAGGCCUUAGGG